UUCUGGCAGGAGGACCUCGGUGGGGCAGGGUGGGGCAUUUGGGGCCUUGCUUUGCUGCCAUUGAGCACCUGGCCUUUGCCUGGUCAGUCUGGGAAGCUCUGACCAAAUGUCCCUGUUUCCCAGGGAAGGGGACGGUAGAGGGUAAGGCCUAGAGGGCAGGCUUCUGAGGUGGCUCUUGCUUCAAACAGUGCUGUCAUUGACUAGCUGAUUGUGGACAAGUGACUUAACGCUGUUUGUUCCUCUUUCCUCAUCUGUCGGACAGGAGUCAUGGUUAUGUUUACCUAAUAGGAUUGUUGGUGGAACAAAUGAGCAAUGUCAAGUACUUAAGGCAUCAACCUCGGCCAGGGACUGCCUCUUCCCGGAACCUCAGUUUCCUCCUAGGUAAAAUGGGCUAGCAAUGCCGGACUUCACAAUUGUUGGGUCACGUAAGAGUGGAUGUAAAAGGUGUCAUAAACCAGAGGGUCUCCUGAUCUGUGCCAUGAAGCCAACAUCAAGGUCUCAUUAUCCGUCCUGAUAUUGGUCUCUAGCCUAGGUAGGUGUUUGGGCCUACAGCAAGGAGGCUGCUGAGGCCCAGCAGAAGUGUGUGGCCAAGUGGGCAGACCACUCAGGCUUGGGAAUCAGGCUCAAAGCUCAUCCAUCCAGCAAACAUUUACCAAGCACCAGGCUUCAUGCUUCGCCCCGUGCUGGGUGUUGGGGAUACAGCUACGGAUAAGACAGAACGCACUUACCGGUUUGAAUCCUGCCCCAGCACUCACCAGCCAUGGAGCCUUACACCAGCCACUUAGCUCCUCUGAGCCUCACUUUCCUGAUCUGAAACCUAAAAGUUAAUGUCCCUGAAGAUUGAACUCCUAUUUAGCACUCAGAAGUGGUAACUGUGUGGGACGCCUGGCUGGCUCAGUCGGUGGAGCGUGCGACCCCUGCUCUCGGGGUUGUGAGUUCCAGCCCCAUGUUGGGUGUAGAGAGGACUUAAAAAUAAAAUCUUUAAAACAACAACAACAAAAAGAGC